AGAGUUUGAUCCUGGCUCAGAUUGAACGCUGGCGGCGUGCCUUACACAUGCAAGUCGAACGGUAACAGGGAGCUUGCUCCGCUGACGAGUGGCGAACGGGUGAGUAAUAUAUCGGAACGUACCAUUCAGUGGGGGAUAACGUAGCGAAAGUUACGCUAAUACCGCAUAUUCUGUGAGCAGGAAAGCAGGGGAUCGCAAGACCUUGCGCUGAUUGAGCGGCCGAUAUCAGAUUAGCUUGUUGGUGAGGUAAAAGCUCACCAAGGCGACGAUCUGUAGCGGGUCUGAGAGGAUGAUCCGCCACACUGGAACUGAGACACGGUCCAGACUCCUACGGGAGGCAGCAGUGGGGAAUUUUGGACAAUGGGGGCAACCCUGAUCCAGCCAUGCCGCGUGAGUGAAGAAGGCCUUCGGGUUGUAAAGCUCUUUCAGCCGGGAAGAAAACGCAUGGGUUAAUACCCUGUGUGGAUGACGGUACCGGAAUAAGAAGCACCGGCUAACUACGUGCCAGCAGCCGCGGUAAUACGUAGGGUGCGAGCGUUGAUCGGAAUUACUGGGCGUAAAGCGUGCGCAGGCGGUUUUGUAAGACAGGCGUGAAAUCCCCGGGCUUAACCUGGGAACUGCGUUUGUGACUGCAAGGCUAGAGUACGGCAGAGGGGGGUGGAAUUCCACGUGUAGCACUGAAAUGCGUAGAGAUGUGGAGGAACACCAAUGGCGAAGGCAGCCCCCUGGGUCGAUACUGACGCUCAUGCACGAAAGCGUGGGUAGCAAACAGGAUUAGAUACCCUGGUAGUCCACGCCCUAAACGAUGUCAACUAGGUGUUGGGAGGGUAAAACCUUUUAGUACCGGAGCUAACGCGUGAAGUUGACCGCCUGGGGAGUACGGCCGCAAGGUUAAAACUCAAAGGAAUUGACGGGGACCCGCACAAGCGGUGGAUGAUGUGGAUUAAUUCGAUGCAACGCGAAAAACCUUACCUACCCUUGACAUGCCAAGAACUUUCCAGAGAUGGAUUGGUGCCCGAAAGGGAACUUGGACACAGGUGCUGCAUGGCUGUCGUCAGCUCGUGUCGUGAGAUGUUGGGUUAAGUCCCGCAACGAGCGCAACCCUUGUCGUUAAUUGCCAUCAUUUAGUUGGGCACUUUAACGAGACUGCCGGUGACAAACCGGAGGAAGGUGGGGAUGACGUCAAGUCCUCAUGGCCCUUAUGGGUAGGGCUUCACACGUCAUACAAUGGUCGGUACAAAGGGUCGCC
rnacentral:rRNA from 1 species